GAUGAACGCUGGCGGCGUGCUUAACACAUGCAAGUCGAACGGGAUCCAGGGAGUGCUUGCACUUUUUGGUGAGAGUGGCGAACGGGUGAGUAACACGUGAGUAACCUGUCCUUUUCUUUGGGAUAAGCUCCUGAAAGGGUGUUUAAUACCUUAUGUUCUGUCUGCCUCGCAUGGGGUGGGUGGGAAAGAUUUGUUUCGGUAAGGGGUGGGCUCGCGGUCUAUCAGCUUGUUGGUGGGGUGAUGGCUUACCAAGGCUUUGACGGGUAGCCGGCCUGAGAGGGUGGUCGGUCACAUUGGGACUGAGAUACGGCCCAGACUCCUGCGGGAGGCAGCAGUGGGGGAUAUUGCACAAUGGGCGCAAGCCUGAUGCAGCGACGCCGCGUGGGGGAUGAAGGCCUUCGGGUUGUAAACCUCUUUCAGCACGGAAGAAGCGAGAGUGACGGUACGUGCAGAAGAAGCGCCGGCUAACUACGUG
rnacentral:rRNA from 1 species